rnacentral:rRNA from 1 species
CGUCUAGGCGGGGAAUUAAGUUAGGUGUGAAAUCCAUGGGCUCAACUCGUGAAUGGCAUCUAAAACUGGUUCUCUUGAGUCCGGGAGAGGAGAGCAGAAUCCCUGGUGUAGCGGUGAAAUGCGUAGAUAUCAGGAGGAAUACCAGUGGCGAAGGCGGCUCUCUGGCCUAGGACUGACGCUGAAGCGCGAAAGCGUGGGGAGCGAACG